GUGGAUGUAGCUCAGGGGUUAGAGUCCCAGAUUGUGGAUCUGGUUGUCGCGGGUUCAAUUCCCGUCAUCCACC
rnacentral:tRNA from 1 species